GCGGUGUGAUCGCCCGCACGCGGACUGAGUUGCAUGCUCCGCAACCCACUGCAUUACAAGCAGCUAUUUCAAUACAUGUAGGGAAUUCGCAACUCGGCAGAUUCCGCAGCGUCGGGGUAGCAACCGUGGAACGUACGCGCCCUCUAAGGUCAAUCUGCUCCUUAUAUAAACCGAACACUGAGUAGGUACCUAAAUGAUUAUAGAUAUAUAACGCUGAGUUCGAAGUUCGGACUUGAUAAAUCUUUCAUUCCAAUAGGCCUGUCAAUUCUACGUACUCGUACGUAGUCAUUAUUAAAUCGCUUAGUACUGCUGAAACUAUACCAAACCACUGUUCUUAAAAAUUCUGUUGACACCACGGACGAAGUAUACAGAAGUAAUAUGGUGUCUAUUACAGACAACAUCCACGAUGUCACAGUGGUUGAGUUCCGCAUGAGGACUUUAUCUCCAGGAUGAGGUCACACGCUCACUGAGCACGAUACAAUGCCUCCCUCCAGCAGAAUCACUAUGUAACAUAUACCUACUUAAAACUAUUUAUUGUAUGAAUAAGACAAGUACCGUGCAUUUUAAUUUAUUCCCCGAAUAAACGUCGAUUUAUUUUCCA